UUUUAUUUUAUUUUAGCAAGGUGAAUAACUGAUGGCACUUGGAAGUAAUACAUAUUUUGUUUAAUUGUUCAUGUAUUCAUUCCUUCAAAAAUCUUUAUUGAACUCCUGACAUACUCCCCAAAAUCAUUCUGUGAAGCACUGCCAAGGUAGACAUAGUUUGAGAUAGACAAUGUCAAGUUCGCCAAAUUACCUUUAGAUUAACCUUACCCUAUGAAUGUUUCUGCUGAAAGAAUUCCAAAUAUAUUUAUUUAUUGUGAUUUUACUCUGAAUUGUAUAAGUUUUUUUCUCAUGUUGGUAUUAUUUGUCAUCCUCCUGAUAUUUUCACAAGCAAUAUCUUACUCUUCUUUCUGGUAUUACAUUAUUUUAGGACCCAUAUUUCAUAUCUAAUAUGGACAUAUCAGAUCACAAAAGGAAUUCUCAUCAUUUUUUUCUUUUUCUUUUUCUUUUUUUUUUUUUUUUUUUUUAGAUUUUAUUCAUUUACUUAUGAUAGAGACAGAGAGAGAGGCAGAGACGUAGGCAAAGGGAGAAGCAGGCUCCCUGCGGGGAGCCUGUUGUGGAACCUGAUCCCAGAUCCCAGGAUCACGCCCUGAGCUGAAGGCAAACACUCAACCAUUGAGCCACCCAGGAGUCCCCAUUUUUUUCACUCAUCAGUGACUUGAUAAACAUUUAAUGAAUACGUAAACCACUAAAUUCCACAACAGUGCUAAGGAAACUGACCAUAAAUUGCUUUGGUUGGGACUGAUGCUUCUCCCUUCUUCUCCCAUAUUUUCUUGCCUCUGCUCCAUGCAGAAAUGGAUUUUCCUUGCCUACAGUGAUGGCCCAGGUUGGUUUGAAAUGAUUGGAUUAAAGGAGAUUUAUAGGCACAGGAGCUACAGUGAUGCAAAGACUCCUGGAAAUGAAAGUCCUGACCCCCUUACCUGAAGGCCACUUUUCAGCGAUCAAUUUUUUUCCACCUUUGCAGGCACAAAUACCAAAAUCCAGAAUUCCAACAUGCCUGGAGAGUGUAUCAGGAAGUUCUUUCCAAAACGGAAGUACUUCAUCUUUGGCCUACAAAUGAUAAAAACCUCUUAUUCCAUCUUGAGAAGGUGCCAGAAGACCAGCUGGACAGUACUUUCCAGGAGCAAUCAAAGAAAUUCUGUACCUAUAUUUUCACUCAAAGACCAAGACCAUAACAGAGGGAAUCAUUGUCACUGGCAGCCGCAAAUGAAGUUCUCCAGCACUUCUUACAGAACCAGCUGGCAGUAGUGAACUCCAUUCUACAGGGAGACUAUGGCCUCAUCUAUCAGGAGAAGGCCCUAUCAGGUACAGGUGUGGGGUUGAGCAUAUAGCAGAGUGGGUAGGUUGCUGCAUUACCUUCAGACAGAGAUGAGGGCCAAACCUCCCUGAAACAAAGAGCUUCUUCUCUUUCUGUGGAACAGCACUGCUAAAUAUAACCAUCAGAGUUGUCUUUUUAAAUCUGGCAGACAAGGAAGGCCAUCUCAAUCACAUCCAGAAAUGUGCUCUUGGGGAUCCACAUAAUUCAGAGGUUUCUCAGCUACCUUUUCAAAGUCAGUUUCAUAUCUGUGCUGAGGAGGCUAGAAUCAAACAUGAGUGUUGUUUUCUUCUUCUCUAAAACAUUUGUGGAACAGCUGAGUGGACUUUGAAGGAGGCAGCUGAGAAGCCACAGGUGCUGCUAAGACAGAAAUACAAGGAGCAACAGUAAAAACUGGAGGCUGAAGAGAGAAGCUGUAGAGAAAGCGCAGCCCAGUUAACUGAGACGUUGGAGAAGGAAAUGUUGAGGCACAAGCUGAAGAUAAGCCUGCACCAGAGCCUAGGCAGUGCCUAAUGGACAGUGCCCUGGUUCCUCAGAAAAAAGAGGGCCCAAACUAAUAAAAAUCAAGAUCCCAGGGAGAAUCA
ensembl:lncRNA